GAUGAACGCUGGCGGCGUGCCUAAUACAUGCAAGUCGAGCGAACGGACGAGAAGCUUGCUUCUCUGAUGUUAGCGGCGGACGGGUGAGUAACACGUGGAUAACCUACCUAUAAGACUUGGAUAACUUCGGGAAACCGGAGCUAAUACCGGUUGAUAUUUUGAACCGCAUGGUUCAAAAGUGAAAGACGGUCUUUCUGUCACUUAUAGAUGGCUCGGCGCUGCAUUAGCUAGUUGGUAAGGUAACGGCUUACCAAGGCAACGAUGCAUAGCCGACCUGAGAGGGGGAUAGGCCACACUGGAACUGAGACACGGUCCAGACUCCUACGGGAGGCAGCAGUAGGGAAUCUUACGCAAUGGGCGAAAGCCUGACGGAGCAACGCCGCGUGAGUGAUGAAGGUCUUCGGAUCGUAAAACUCUGUUAUUAGGGAAGAACAUAUGUGUAAGUAACUGUGCACAUCUUGACGGUACCUAAUCAGAAAGCAACGGCUAACUACGUG
rnacentral:rRNA from 1 species